GUACUCGCUUCAGCAGCACAUAUACUAAAAUUGGAACAAUACAGACAGGAUUAGCAUGGCCCCUGUGCAAGGAUGACAUGCAAAUUUGUGAAGCGUUCCAUAAUUUU
rnacentral:snRNA from 1 species